rnacentral:rRNA from 1 species
UACGUAGGGGGCAAGCGUUGUCCGGAUUUAUUGGGCGUAAAGAGCGUGUAGGCGGCCAGGGAGGUCCGUUGUGAAAACUCGAGGCUCAACCUCGAGACGCCGAUGGAAACCCCCUGGCUAGAGUCCGGAAGAGGGAAGCGGAAUUUCCGGUGUAGCGGUGAAAUGCGUAGAUAUCGGAAGGAACACCAGUGGCGAAAGCGGCUUCCUGGUCCAGCAUCGACGUUCAGGCACGAAAGCGUGGGGAGCAAACAGG